rnacentral:rRNA from 1 species
CUAGUUGGUGGGGUAAAGGCCUACCAAGGCGACGAUCUGUAGCGGGUCUGAGAGGAUGAUCCGCCACACUGGGACUGAGACACGGCCCAGACUCCUACGGGAGGCAGCAGUGGGGAAUAUUGGACAAUGGGGGGAACCCUGAUCCAGCCAUGCCGCGUGUGUGAAGAAGGCCUUAUGGUUGUAAAGCACUUUAAGCGAGGAGGAGGCUACUUUAGAUAAUACCUAGAGAUAGUGGACGUUACUCGCAGAAUAAGCACCGGCUAACUCUGUGCCAGCAGCCGCGGUAAUACAGAGGGUGCAAGCGUUAAUCGGAUUUACUGGGCGUAAAGCGCGCGUAGGCGGCUAAUUAAGUCAAAUGUGAAAUCCCCGAGCUUAACUUGGGAAUUGCAUUCGAUACUGGUUAGCUAGAGUGUGGGAGAGGAUGGUAGAAUUCCAGGUGUAGCGGUGAAAUGCGUAGAGAUCUGGAGGAAUACCGAUGGCGAAGGCAGCCAUCUGGCCUAACACUGACGCUGAGGUGCGAAAGCAUGGGGAGCAAACAGGAUUAGAUACCCUGGUAGUCCAUGCCGUAAACGA